rnacentral:rRNA from 1 species
UACGUAGGGAGCAAGCGUUGUCCGGAAUUACUGGGUGUAAAGGGAGCGUAGGCGGGAUAGUAAGUUGAUUGUUAAAACUAUCGGCUCAACUGGUAGAUGCGAUCAAAACUGCAAUUCUUGAGUGAAGUAGAGGCAGGCGGAAUUCCUAGUGUAGCGGUGAAAUGCGUAGAUAUUAGGAGGAACACCAGUGGCGAAGGCGGCCUGCUGGGCUUUAACUGACGCUGAGGCUCGAAAGUGUGGGUAGCAAACAG